rnacentral:tRNA from 1 species
GUUAUUGUAGCUUAAAAUUUUAAAGCACAGCACUGAAAAUGCUAAGACGGAAAUUUAAAAUUUCCCAGAAACA